CUACGGGGGGCACCAGUGGGGAAUAUUGCACAAUGGAGGAAACUCUGAUGCAGCAACGCCGCGUGGAGGAUGACACUUUUCGGAGCGUAAACUCCUUUUAUAUAGGAAGAAGAUGACGGUACUAUAUGAAUAAGCGCCGGCUAACUCCGUGCCAGCAGCCGCGGUAAUACGGAGGGCGCUAGCGUUACUCGGAAUCACUGGGCGUAAAGAGCGUGUAGGCGGAUUAAAAAGUCAGAAGUGAAAUCCUAUAGCUUAACUAUAGAACUGCUUCUGAAACUCUUAAUCUAGAAUAUGGGAGAGGUAGAUGGAAUUUCUGGUGUAGGGGUAAAAUCCGUAGAGAUCAGAAGGAAUACCGAUUGCGAAGGCGAUCUACUAGAACAUUAUUGACGCUGAGACGCGAAAGCGCGGGGAGCAAACAGGAUUAGAUACCCUCGUAGUC
rnacentral:rRNA from 1 species